AUAGCGGAGUCUGGUACGUUUUGUUUGAUCCACGACUGCCAAAUACAAAACUCACUGCCAAGGAAAGGUAAGCUUAAAUGGGCAAUAUGGUACUACUGAUGUGCCUGUUGCCCCAGCAUUCUAUUUUUUUUUUUAAUUUAUUUUAGUGAAAAAACGUAUUAGCGUCUAAACGCAUUAACGUCUAAAAAAAAAUGGUCGCCAUUCUAAGGCGAAUUAAUUGGAAUUAAUUCAUGUUAAUCGUGUAGAAAUCUCUACGCCAGACGAUAAAAUAUGAAUUA